GCACCACAACAGGUGGAGCCUGCGGUUUAAUCGGACUCAACGCCGGGAAACUCGCCAGAUAAGACAGCUGAAUGAUAGUCGGGCUGAAGACUCUACUUGACUAGCUGAGAGGAGGUGCAUGGCCGUCGUCAGUUCGUACUGUGAAGCAUCCUGUUAAGUCAGGCAACGAGCGAGACCCACGCCAACAGUUGCCAGCUCGUCCUCCGGGAUGGUGGGGACACUGUUGGGACCGCCUCUGCUAAAGAGGAGGAAGGAAUGGGCAACGGUAGGUCAGCAUGCCCCGAAUUAUCUGGGCUACACGCGGGCUACAAUGGGUGGGACAAUGGGUAUCGACACCGAAAGGUGAAGGCAAUCUCCUAAACCCAUCCGUAGUUCGGAUUGUGGGCUGCAACUCGCCCACAUGAAGCUGGAAUCUGUAGUAAUCGUGUCUCAAAAUGGCACGGUGAAUAUGUCCCUGCUCCUU
rnacentral:rRNA from 1 species